GGCCAGUUGAGUGCUUGCGUGGCUGUGAAGCACCAGUGCUGCAAAGAUGGGAAAAGACAAAGUGAUGUGACUUCUGGGGAAGGCACCUUAAAAUAGAAAGAAAAAGAAAGGUGGGAUUGUUGGAAUUUUUUUUUCUAUUGAGAAGCAUGAUCCUGUCUGCUAAGACUCUCCUCUUGAAAUCCUGUCUGGAUUUCAGGUUAUGCCAAGCCCAGGAAGGAUGAAGGAAAAAUUGCUCCCUAGUUAAAGCCAUUUCUACUGAAAAUUCUCUGCAUGGAGAAAGGGCUUGAGAAAGUGGACUCAUCCCAAGAAGGAUUUGAAGAGGCCAAGUAUUCAAAGCAGCAGCAUGCAAACUCCAGGAGGGCCUUCAGAGGUGUAAGUGGUAGGUGGUUGGAAGUGAAAAAUAGAUGUGACUUUAGGAAAGGAUCAUGAUAGAACUGGAAGAAUUCCAUUGAAGAACUCAGACGGAGACAGUGUAAAUCACGUGAACCUGAAGCGAACCAAAAAUCAUGAGAAGAUGCUUGUUUAAUACACAAGGAACUCUAAAAACAAUGAGGAAAAAGCAACAGUCUUACUAACAUAUGUGUCUUAAUUUACUCAUAUCUGUGCAGACUUCAUUCUGCUUUUAAUAAUAAUGCAUCACAGGCCUUUUAUAGUCUGUUUCAAACUCCUGUCUAACAUGAUGAAAAUCUUAAAUAUGAUCCUUUUAAGGAUGGAAGAUGUAUCACAUAGAAUGGAGGAGGACUGCGGUACAAAAAUGAAUGGCCACCUAGCACAUCUGCAGCAGCAGUCAUCAGCAGAUGUUUAGGGGAGAAUAGAAAACUGAGGAUGUGUGACAUGAUUAAUUUCCUUGUUUAGCCUCUUGUUUUGAGUAUUCAGCUUUUCAGUGACUUCCUGAACUGGAAGUUCAAUAUGGUCGGUCAUGUCCUACUGAUACAGCUUUCUGGCAUGAGUUUGUUCAGUGUCUUUUGAACCUGUUUGAGUACUAUUCUCAUCACUGACCCAUGGCAGUUAUUAUACGAUGCCUAAUAAAACACAGAGCUUUUUUCCCCCCAAAAUGCUAAUGACUUUUUUGCACCCUGUUGUUUGUUUAACAGUUAGUGACUAAUGUUUAUCUGGUCUCUCUGCUUCCAUUUAGUAAUUUAGAACUUCUCCCAUGUCUCACCUCAAUUAUGUAUUUUCCGUGUGAAGGGCUCCUGGUCCAUGCUGCUCGUGAGGUGGAACAGCACACACUUUUGAUCAUCAUUGCUGCUCUCUGAGCAUACUCUGUUUCUUCUAUAUGCUCAGAUUGGUGGGGGUCAGACUCACAUGCUGUAGUCAAGCUUUCAGUAAUACUUUUUAAGCCCUUGGUGUACCUGGGGAUGCUAGUAGUGGUCUGAUGGUUAAGAUGGCAGAACCUGGAGGAGGUAUUACAACUGCUUAGAUAGUAUGUCUAGAAAUCUGGAGGCGGCACUCAACAGUUUCUCAGGUUGGAAACAAAAUCAAGGGAAGGGAAGAAUUUCUCAGAGACUCUAGACCUCCAUGAUCUGAAUCACAGAAUCACAGAAUGGACCCUUUGGUUCAUCUGGUCCAAUCCCUGCUCCAGCAGGACCACCCAGACCAGGCUGCCCAAGCCCACAUCCAAGUGGCUUUUGAAGAUUUUCACAGCCUCUCUGGGCCACCUGUGUCAGUGCUCAGUCAUCUACACCGUAAAUUUUGACAAAGUCCAAAUAACAUAAAAGGGAGCCAUGCAAGGAUUUGUCUCUCUGGGGGUCCUACGUGGAGCAGAAUGAAGAUGAAAGUUGUGUCUUUUUCAGAUCUGUACAUGUGGUUCUGGAAUACACACAGUGUUUGAUGUGGAUGGGGUUGAAGGUCUCAGCUCCUGUUCCUCAUUUCUCUAAAUCUGUGCCUAAGGGUAGCUGCUAAAGAAAGAGUCAGAUCACAAUCUAAAUCUCUUGUGUCUUUUCAUUAUUUUUUUUCCAUUCCAUCUAGAGAUGUGAAGUGUAUUAAUUUUGAUUGAAACCCCAAUAAGACAUAGAAAAAGAAAAAAGCAUCUUGAUAUCUUCCUGGCACUAUAUGCCAGCACUAAACAGCUUGCUACAUGGUGUCAUGAUAUGGAAUACUGAUAAAUCCAGGAGACUUCCUUUAUCUCUAAUCCCAAGUUAUGUUCCCAGGAAUGAACAGAUAAAAUUAACAUCUUUUGAACUCAGAGAUAUUGAUGGUUUCUUCAAGAAAGUAAGUGUCCAUGUGAGAUGAAGAUGGAAAUCACCUAAUGAAAACAGUAAUACACAUAAUUGAUAUUUCCAAAUUCAACCUUCUGGUGACUGUGAAAAGGAUUGUAAGAGAUAAACUAUAAAUAAAAUAUGAAGAUAAAACUUUUCAAA